GACGAACGCUGGCGGCGUGCCUAACACAUGCAAGUCGAACGCGUCUGUGCUUCGGCACAGAUGAGUGGCGAACGGGUGAGUAACGCGUGAGUAACUCCCCUUGGGGAGGGGGAUAACCAUCUGAAAAGGUGGCUAAUACCCCAUAUUCUCUUUUCUCAUAAAGAGGAAGGAGGAAAGGUGGCGCAAGCUGCCACCCCGAGAGAGGCUCGCGUCCCAUCAGCUAGUUGGUAGGGUAAUGGCCUACCAAGGCUAUGACGGGUAGCUGGUCUGAGAGGAUGGUCAGCCACACUGGGACUGAGACACGGCCCAGACUCCUACGGGAGGCAGCAGUGAGGAAUCUUGGGCAAUGGGCGAAAGCCUGACCCAGCGACGCCGCGUGGAGGAAGAAGGCCUUCGGGUCGUAAACUCCUGUUUGGGGAGAAGAACAAGAGAGAAGUUAAUUAGCUUCUCUCUCUGACGGUAUCCCCGGAGAAAGCUCCGGCUAAUUACGUG
rnacentral:rRNA from 1 species